UACGGGGGGGGCAAGCGUUGUUCGGAAUUACUGGGCGUAAAGCGUGUGUAGGCGGCCACGUAAGUCGGAUGUGAAAGCCCCGGGCUCAACCCGGGAAGUGCACUCGAUACUGCGUGGCUUGAGUACUGGAGAGGUUGGUGGAAUUCUCGGUGUAGAGGUGAAAUUCGUAGAUAUCGAGAGGAACACCGGUGGCGAAGGCGGCCAACUGGACAGAUACUGACGCUGAGACACGAAAGCGUGGGGAGCAAACAGG
rnacentral:rRNA from 1 species